GGAAGGGUCAAUAGCUCAGUGGAGGAUCAUCUGAUUAGUAUGCAGAAGGUCCCAGUUUCAAUCCCUGGCUGCUGCCA